rnacentral:tRNA from 1 species
AGGAUAAUAGUUAAUAAUAACAUUUAAUUUGCACUUAAAAAAUACUGUAUAAAUAGUUUAUCUU